rnacentral:rRNA from 1 species
CCCAUUCACCGAAGUCAAGCAUCAUUGGGCGCUGUCAGUACUUGGGUGGGUGACCACCUGGGAACACCGCGUGCCGUU